UACGUAGGGUGCGAGCGUUAAUCGGAAUUACUGGGCGUAAAGCGUGCGCAGGCGGCGCGUUAAGACAGGUGUGAAAGCCCCCGAGCUUAACUUGGGAAUUGCGCUUGUGACUGGCGUGCGUGGAGUGUGGCAGAGGGAGGUGGAAUUCCACGUGUAGCAGUGAAAUGCGUAGAGAUGAUGGAGGAACACCGAUGGCGAAGGCCAGCCUCCUGGGCCAGCACUGACGCUCAGUGCA
rnacentral:rRNA from 1 species